UAGACGGCGACAGUAUCGCGCCAUCUCGGUCGUAACUGACACGUUACCAAAUUUCUGUUUUAUUAUCACAGAAACAUUAUUUACAGGUAUAGUUGAUUAAUAAGAGAGACGUGGUAAACUUGGUAAAAAGUAUCCCAUCUAGAAAUUUUCAGGAUGGAUCCUCAUGUUAUCAUUAUAGGUAUUGUUGCCUUUGUUGUCUCUGCUAUGAUGAUAUAUCUAAUAUCUGCAUUUGGAUUCAAAGAGAAGUCGUAUGAGGAGGCUGUAGCUGAACAGAAGGAGAGACUAGAAGCUGAGCAAGAUAAGGUUAAAAAAGAGAAGAAAGCCAAGAAAGAAAAGUUGGCAGAUAACAAUAGGAACGAAGAAGAGCUUGGAACAUUUCAGUUUGGGAAUUAAUGAAACAGAGGACUUUUUAAUAUUAAUGCCUCUUAUAUUUUAAGAUAUAUUAUUAUUGCAGUUUUUAUUUACAUCCAAAGUCUUAAGUAUUUUUGUUUAUUUUCUAGAAGCUUAUUUAUUUUUACUUAUUUAAAUUUUUAUUUACAUAUGUUUCAUUUUUACAUUAAUUUUAUAUUUUUCAUCCUUUAAUUAACCUUUUUUUCCCUUAACAUAUAUUUGUUUUUAAAUAUACACUCAGCUACAUUUAUCAUUUUCAGCAGAUCCUAUUUGAUGAAACAAGACCAAAAGGUACUCCUUCAAGGAUAUAAAUUCUUGACUAACUUUUUCUUGUUGACAAUCAGUUGAAAAAAAAAUUUGACAAAUGAGGAUG